AUCUGCCCACCUCGGCCUCCCAGAGCGCUGGGAUUACAGACAUUAGCCACCACACCCUGCCUCGGGAUACAAUUUUUAAACUACAGAAAGUUAGGGGUUCUGUCAGAAUCUACUCUUUAAAAAUGCAGUCCAUGUGUAAAGGAACUGAUACAAUAGCAAUAUCCAAGAUGAAAAAUGGACCAGAAGAGACCAAGACAGGAAAUGGGAAGAUUCAUUUGAAGCAAUGCAUGGAGAAAUGACUAGCUCAGAUAUUUUAAAAGGGCAAUCCUCUGGGGCCUGCGCAGGCCAAGAGCAGACCAUCUCUAGUUCUUUGCAGCACGUACUGUUUAGAGAUUUUCCUUCUGUAAAUGAAAGAUGACUCUAUAAAAAAAUUUUAAAAAGCAGAGUUCUCAAUUUUUAGCGUAGUUUUAGAAAUGUUUAGUUAUAUCUCAACUGAGAAGUCCACAUUUAGAGAACCCUUCAAGACAUAAUUACAGGUAGGUAUCAGGA